rnacentral:rRNA from 1 species
AGAGCGAACGUUAGCGGCGGGCCUAACACAUGCAAGUCGAGCGAGAAAGUGGCUUCGGCCAUCAGUAAAGCGGCGGACGGGUGAGUAACACGUAGGUAAUCUUCCCUUGAGCGGGGGGACAACGUUUCGAAAGGAACGCUAAUACCGCAUAAGUUUCCGAGGCCUCCGGGUUUUGGAAGGAAAGCUAGGUCGCAAGAUCCGGCACUCGAGGAGGAGCCUGCGUCGCAUCAGCUAGUUGGUGGGGUAAUGGCCUACCAAGGCGAAGACGCGUAGCUGGUCUGAGAGGACGACCAGCCACACCGGAACUGAGACACGGUCCGAACUCCUACGGGAGGCAGCAGUGGGGGAAUAUUGGACAAUGGGGGAAACCCUGAUCCAGCGACGCCGCGUGUGUGAAGAAGGCCUGCGGGUUGUAAAGCACUUUUAGUGGGACAAAAGCUACGGAUUAAUACUCUGUGGUCUUGAUUUAACCCAAAGAAAAGCACCGGCUAACUCUGCGCCAGCAGCCGCGGU